rnacentral:rRNA from 1 species
CUACCUACGGGAGGCAGCAGUGAGGAAUAUUGGUCAAUGGCCGGGAGGCUGAACCAGCCAAGUCGCGUGAGGGAAGACGGCCCUACGGGUUGUAAACCUCUUUUGUCAGGGAGCAAGGUGCAGGUCGGGACCUGCUGUGAGAGUACCUGAAGAAAAAGCAUCGGCUAACUCCGUGCCAGCAGCCGCGGUAAUACGGAGGGUGCGAGCGUUAAUCGGAAUUACUGGGCGUAAAGCGCUCGUAGGCGGUAUGUCAAGUCAAGGGUGAAAUCCCCGCGCUCAACGUGGGAACUGCCUUUGAAACUGGC